rnacentral:rRNA from 1 species
UUAGAGGAAGUAAAAGUCGUAACAAGGUUUCCGUAGGUGAACCUGCGGAAGGAUCAUUAAUGAGAGAUCAGCAUUUGGGAAAAAGGCUGUUGCUGGCUUAACUUGCAUGUGCACGCCUCGACCGGAUGUUACUUGUCCUCUUCACACACCUGUGCACCAUCUGUAGCUGGGGGAUGAUCACGAGAUUGUCGAAUGCCCCUCGUUACGAAUUGUUUUUACAUUGCCGAAUAUAAUAAAGUUUUUUGGAACGUUUGGGAAAUUGGAAAUACAACUUUCAGCAACGGAUCUCUUGGCUCUCGCAUCGAUGAAGAACGCAGCGAAAUGCGAUAAGUAAUGUGAAUUGCAGAAUUCAGUGAAUCAUCGAAUCUUUGAACGCACCUUGCGCUCCUUGGUAUUCCGAGGAGCAUGCCUGUUUGAGUGUCAUGAAAUUCUCAACUGCUUUGGCUUUAUUGUUCAAAGUGAAGUUGGAUGUGGAGUUUGUCGGCUGUUGUUCGACUACUCCAAAAAGCAUUAAAGCGGCCUUUGUUGGCAGAAAGUAUCUUUGACGUGAUAAUUGUCUACGUCGUAGAGAAAGCCUUUGGGAGCUUUGUAACAAUUUUUGACCUAUUCGACCUCAAAUCAGGCAGGACUACCCGCUGAACUUAAGCAUAUCAAUAAGCGGAGGAAAAGAAACUAACAAGGAUUCCCCUAGUAACUGCGAGUGAAGCGGGAAAAGCUCAAAUUUGAAAUCUGGCGUGCUUCUGGCCGUCCGAGUUGUAGUCUGGAGAAGCGUUUUCCGUGCUGGACCGUGUACAAGUCCCUUGGAACAGGGCGUCAUAGAGGGUGAGAAUCCCGUCUUUGACACGGACUACCAGCGCUUUGUGAUGCGCUCUCAACGAGUCGAGUUGUUUGGGAAUGCAGCUCAAAAUGGGUGGUAAAUUCCAUCUAAAGCUAAAUAUAGGCGAGAGACCGAUAGCGAACAAGUACCGUGAGGGAAAGAUGAAAAGCACUUUGGAAAGAGAGUUAAACAGUACGUGAAAUUGCUGAAAGGGAAACGCUUGAAGUCAGUCGCGUCUACCAGGACUCAGCCUUGCUUCUGGCUUGGUGCAUUUUCUGGUUGACGGGCCAGCAUCGAUUUUGAUCGUCAGAUAAAGUCAAUUGGAACGUGGCACCUCUCGAGGUGUGUUAUAGCCUCUUGUCGUAUAUGACGGUUUGGGAUCGAGGACUGCAGCACGCCCUCUGGGGCUGGGGUUUUUAACCUACAUAACGUGC